rnacentral:rRNA from 1 species
AUUGAACGCUGGCGGCAGGCCUAACACAUGCAAGUCGAGCGGAUGAAGGGAGCUUGCUCCUGGAUUCAGCGGCGGACGGGUGAGUAAUGCCUAGGAAUCUGCCUGGUAGUGGGGGAUAACGUCCGGAAACGGGCGCUAAUACCGCAUACGGCCUGAGGGAGAAAGUGGGGGAUCUUCGGACCUCACGCUAUCAGAUGAGCCUAGGUCGGAUUAGCUAGUUGGUGGGGUAAAGGCCUACCAAGGCGACGAUCCGUAACUGGUCUGAGAGGAUGAUCAGUCACACUGGAACUGAGACACGGUCCAGACUCCUACGGGAGGCAGCAGUGGGGAAUAUUGGACAAUGGGCGAAAGCCUGAUCCAGCCAUGCCGCGUGUGUGAAGAAGGUCUUCGGAUUGUAAAGCACUUUAAGUUGGGAGGAAGGGCAGUAAGUUAAUACCUUGCUGUUUUGACGUUACCAACAGGAUAAGCACCGGCUAACUUCGUG